rnacentral:lncRNA from 1 species
GGGUUGCCCAGGGCAGGCCACUUCCUACUCCCCAGAACUUUCUGACCAGGGGCGAGGACAGGUGGAGCAGAAUGGAUAGAUUCUGGACGACCCCUGGCCAACUCUCCCUUCUCACAGCUCUGGUACCGCGGCUGGUUCAGGCCCAACCCUCAGUGGCCCAGCGGAAGCCGUGGCUGGUGGGGCUGGGGGCUGCGCUGGCCUUCCUCUUCCUCAUCUUUAUCCUCACCUUGGUCUAUGCCAUCUGGUGCCUAGAGUCCCGGGACAGCAAUAAAGAGAAGGAAGAGGAGACUGUGAGAAAGGAGGAGAAGGAGGGGGAGGACGACUGGGGGCUGGAACUGGAGGAGAAAGAGGGGCCACCAAACCAUGAAACGGUGGUGAGCUCCUCCAUGUGAAGGCGUCCCAAUCACUUCCUCCAGGCAGCCACCCGCCCCCAUGCCUCAACACCUUCUCCACACCCUAUCUGCAAAGACCAGGGGAAUGACUCCGGCUGGGACUCGGGGUAAAGCAUCCCUGAGUGCAAGGACUCAGGACCUGCCCCUGGUUCCUCUGGGAGGGCUCUAUGUGCGUCACAUGGUCAUCAUGUACCCCUGCCCAAGCCUGGUCUCCACCUAAUGAUUCUUCCUGAGCUUGGAGGGCACCCCUGGACAAGGAGCCACCCACAUUCCUGAGAACCUCCCCACUCUCUCAUUUCUCAACCCAUCUGCAUCACAGGCUCUCUUUUUACUCACUGUCUGAUUUCUUCUCCUGCCUCUGAUUUCUCUUGCCCUUUGGAUAUCAUCAGAGAAGCCAGCUCUACCGCUCGUCCAAGUGCUUUUGAGGCCCUGCUUCAGUGAGGCCCUAGGAAUAAAGUGGCUCCCAUCCCCUCUCCUGGCCUCAAUUUGCAUCUCUGCCAUGUGGGAGCUGGGGGAGCCCCCUGUGCCUCCUAUCCAAGCCCCCUUUUCACUGGUCAGAGGGAUGGUGGGGAGAAACCAUGCAGAUGGUUCUUCAAGUCUUAGCAGAAUCCAGGGCAGAUCCAGCCCUCCUCCUGGUCUCGCUUUUGCUGCUAGGGAACUCGAACUUUGAGCUGGUUCAGAGCAGGGCUGUUUUCUGGGAGAUGAGGGCCCCUCCUACUCUGUGCUGAGUUUCAGGCCACUGUCCUGGAAGCUGGGACUCGCAGGGACCCAAGUGAAGGUGCAGGAGUGGGAGUGAGGGGAUUCUGCAUGACUGCAGUCUCUAACUGUCCUGCACUUCUGGUGGUGGCCCCAUGGUGAAGGAGAAGGUGCUAGUCUCAACCUCUUUGCUGUGUGGCCCCAGGGCAAGUAACUUAUCUUCUCUGUUCCUAAGUGUCCUGUCCUGUGAAAGGCAGGAUAAUAGAUCCUUUAUAAAUUGUCUUGAGGACUGAAUGAAAUACUGUCCGCAAAACCCCUGAGUGCUGAACCCAGUACCCAGAAGACGUCUAAUAAACGUCAGCUUUUU